rnacentral:lncRNA from 1 species
UGAAUAAAUUUAUUUUCUAAGAUUAAUGUAAUACAGUCUUCUAGAAUUUCUUAGCUCAAUUGCAAGGUUUUUCCUUUCCUUUUUUGCACCACCUCUCGUCUCAAUUGCAAAGUUUUUCCUUUCAUUUUUUGCACCACCUCUCAGCUCAAUUGCAAAACUAACAGCAGAACAAUAACAAAAUUAACAGCAAAAGCAAAAGCAGAACAAACGAACAGGGACAUCAAAUUGACAAAUUCAAUCACUACAGCAGAAGCAAAAACAACUAAUUGCAUAAGCAGAAACAGAAGC